GUGCUUGCUUUGACAGCACAUAUACUAAAACUGGAAUGAUAUAGAGAAUAUUAGCAUGGCCCCUGUGCAAGGAUGACACACAAAUUCAUGAAGCAUUCCAUAUUUUU
ensembl:snRNA U6 U6 spliceosomal RNA